GGGGGGGGGGGGGGGGGGGGGGGGGGGGGGGGGGGGGGGGGGGGGGGGGGGGGGGGGGCGCCGGGGGCGGGGGCGGCGGACGGGUGGGUAGCGCGUGGCUAGCCUACCUGUGAGACUGGGCUCACUUCGGGGGACCGGAGCUAAUACCGGCUACUAUAUUGAACCGCAUGGGUCAAUAGUGAACGCCGGUUUUGCUGUCACUUAUCGAUGGAUCCGCGCCGCAUUAGCUAGUUGGUAAGGUAACGGCUUACCAAGGCAACGAUGCGUAGCCGACCUGAGAGGGUGAUCGGCCACACUGGAACUGAGACACGGUCCAGACUCCUACGGGAGGCAGCAGUAGGGAAUCUUCCGCAAUGGGCGAAAGCCUGACGGAGCAACGCCGCGUGAGUGAUGAAGGUCUUCGGAUCGUAAAACUCUGUUAGUAGGGAAGAACAAAUGUGUAAGUAACUAUGCACGUCUUGACGGUACCUAAUCAGAAAGCCACGGCUAACUACGUG
rnacentral:rRNA from 1 species